rnacentral:rRNA from 1 species
UGCCAGCAGCCGCGGUAAGACAGAGGUCUCGAGCGUUAUCCGGAUUCACUGGGCGUAAAGGGCGUCUAGGCGGUCUCGUGUGUCACCUGUGAAAGCUCCCGGCUCAACCGGGAGAGGUCGGGUGAAACUACGAGACUCGAGCUUCGGAGGGGAGAAUGGAACUUCCAGAGUAACGGUGAAAUGUGCAGAUACUGGAAGGUACCUCGAUAGCGAAGGCAGUUCUCUGGCCGACAGCUGACGCUGAAGCGCGAAAGCGUGGGGAGCGAACCGGAUUAGAUA